rnacentral:tRNA from 1 species
UGGUUCAGUGGUUAAGACUCUGCACUUCCAAUGCAGGAGAUGUGGGUUCAGUCCCAC